rfam:Schistosoma mansoni strain Puerto Rico chromosome W, complete genome
AUCCAGCUGAAGAGUCCUAACUAGGAUGAAACGCGUGUCCUGGAU